GGAAGAAUGGCAGAGUGGUUGAAUGCGACGGUCUUGAAAACCGUUAUAGGGGCAACUCUAUCGGGGGUUCGAAUCCCUCUUCUUCCGCCA
rnacentral:tRNA from 1 species